GGAUGUGUGCCCGAGAACAUAAGGAUUACUUUGAUAGAGUAAAUUACAGGGAUUAACAACCCUCACCUCCU
rnacentral:tRNA from 1 species